rnacentral:lncRNA from 1 species
GUGAAUUUAGAGGUCGAAAGACGACCUUCCUCUUCACCAUCUUUCUGACCUCCGAUUGGAGUUCCUCUGGCCGCUUCACCGCAGGCUCUGGCUUCCUUUUCUCCAGUCUGCGCAGGAAGUCUCUGUGAUGACCAGGUCUCACCGUCCAGAUCUGCAGGCAGCUCAGCCUUCAGAACCGUGACAGAGCCAAGUGAUUGUUGGCUCUAUAAACAUUUGUGAACCACGUGGGAUGAAUUGGAGGGAUACAGGCAUGGAUGACCUGUAAUGCUUGCCCAUAGGCUGUGCAGGGGCUGGCUGUGGUCAGGACUCAGCAGGUGAAGGUGCCUGCUGCCCAGCCUGAUGAUCCGAGUCCACUUUCUGGAAUCUCCAUGGUUGACUGCCUCCAAGAGUUCCUUCUACAGCUGGAAUGCAAGAUCCUGAGUGGAGUCCAGGUGGUGGGUCUGGGAGCCUCCAGAGAGUCAUGGCCAGUCAGGAUGGCUGCCGUCCCCGUGCUUCUGGAGAGGGGCUUAGCCAAGAGGAAGCCACCCCAAAGGCUGAUCUCCUGACAGUUGAGCCGGUCCCCUGACAUGUGGCAUGCUGCAGGUGGUGCCUUCCCUUUCCUCUGUUGUCCAGCUCUGACAGACAGCCAGGAUGGCAGGGUGUCCAGCCAGGCCACUGGUGGUAUAGUGCCAGGGAAAUGUUAGUGCCCCCCCC